AUUGAACGCUGGCGGCAUGCUUUACACAUGCAAGUCGAACGCGUGGCGAACGGGUGAGUAAUAUAUCGGAACGUACCGAUUAAUGGGGGAUGACCAAUCGAAAGAUUGACUAAUACCGCAUAUUCUUCUAGCGGCCGAUAACUGAUUAGCUCGUUGGUGGGGUAAAGGCCUACCAAGGCGACGAUCAGUAGCGGGUCUGAGAGGACGAUCGGCCACACUGGGACUGAGACACGGCCCAGAUUCCGACGGGAGGCAGCAGUGGGGAAUUUUGGACAAGGGGGGCAACCCUGAUCCAGCCAUGCCGGGUGUAUGAAGAAGGCCUUCGGGUGGUAAAGUACGUUUGUGAGGGAAGCGGUACCUAAAGAAUAAGCACCGGCUAACUACGUGCCAGCCGCCGCGGUAAUUC
rnacentral:rRNA from 1 species